CAAGGAAGGCAGCAGGCGCGCAAAUUACCCAAUCCCAAUACGGGGAGGUAGUGACAAUAAAUACUGAUACGGGGCUCUUUCGGGUCUCGUAAUUGGAAUGAGUACAAUCUAAAUCCCUUAACGAGGAACAAUUGGAGGGCAAGUCUGGUGCCAGCAGCCGCGGUAAUUCCAGCUCCAAUAGCGUAUAUUAAAGUUGUUGCCGUUAAAAAGCUCGUAGUUGAACCUUGGACCUGGCUGAUCUGUCCUCCUAAUCGAGCGCACGGAUUCGGUCGGGUCUUUCCUUCUGGGGAGCCCUAUGCCCUUCACUGGGUGUAGUGGGGAACCAGGACUUUUACCUUGAAAAAAUUAGAGUGUUCAAAGCAGGCCUUUGCUCGAAUACAUUAGCAUGGAAUAAUAGAAUAGGACAUCGGUUCUAUUUUGUUGGUUUCUAGGACCGCUGUAAUGAUUAAUAGGGAUAGUCGGGGGCGUCAGUAUUCAAUUGUCAGAGGUGAAAUUCUUGGAUUUAUUGAAGACUAACUACUGCGAAAGCAUUCGCCAAGGAUGUUUUCAUUAAUCAGUGAACGAAAGUUAGGGGAUCGAAGACGAUCAGAUACCGUCGUAGUCUUAACCAUAAACUAUGCCGACUAGGGAUCGGACGGUGGUUUUUUUAUGCCCCGUUCGGCACCUUACGAGA
rnacentral:rRNA from 1 species